rnacentral:rRNA from 1 species
GACGAACGCUGGCGGCGUGCUUAACACAUGCAAGUCGAACGGAAAGGCCCUGCUUUUGUGGGGUGCUCGAGUGGCGAACGGGUGAGUAACACGUGAGUAACCUGCCCUUGACUUUGGGAUAACUUCAGGAAACUGGGGCUAAUACCGGAUAGGAGCUCCUGCUGCAUGGUGGGGGUUGGACAGUUUCGGCGGUUGGGGAUGGACUCGCGGCUUAUCAGCUUGUUGGUGGGGUAGUGGCUUACCAAGGCUUUGACGGGUAGCCGGCCUGAGAGGGUGACCGGCCACAUUGGGACUGAGAUACGGCCCAGACUCCUACGGGAGGCAGCAGUGGGGAAUAUUGCACAAUGGGCGGAAGCCUGAUGCAGCAACGCCGCGUGCGGGAUGACGGCCUUCGGGUUGUAAACCGCUUUCGCCUGUUACGAAGCGUGAGUGACGGUAAUGGGUAAAGAAGCACCGGCUAACUACGUG